rnacentral:rRNA from 1 species
AUUGAACGCUGGCGGCAGGCCUAACACAUGCAAGUCGAACGAGUGGCGGACGGGUGAGUAAUGUCUGGGAAACUGCCUGAUGGCGGGGGAUAACUACUGGACACGGUAGCUAAUAACGCAUACCAUCAGAUGUGCCCAGAUGGGCUUAGCUUGUUGGUGGGGUAACGGCUGACCAAGGCGACGAGCCCUAGCGGGUCUGAGAGGAUGACCAGUCACACGGGAACUGAGAAACGGUCCAGACGCCUACGGGAGGCAGCAGUGGGGAAUAUUGCACAAGGGGCGCAAGCCUGAUGCAGCCAUGCCGCGUGUAUGAAGAAGGCCUUCGGGUUGUAAAGUACUUUCAGCUGGGAGGCGUUACCCGCAGAAUAAGCACCGGCUAACUCCGUGCCAGCAGCCGCGGUAAUAC